UACGUAGGGGGCAAGCGUUGUCCGGAAUCAUUGGGCGUAAAGAGCGUGUAGGCGGUCCGGUAAGUCAGCUGUGAAAGUCAAGGGCUCAACCCUUGAAAGCCGGUUGAUACUGUCGGGCUAGAGUCCGGAAGAGGCGAGUGGAAUUCCCGGUGUAGCGGUGAAAUGCGCAGAGUAUCGGGAGGAACACCAGCGGCGAAGGCGGCACUCUGGGCCGAUACUGACGCUGAGGAGCGAAAGCGUGGGAGCGAACAGG
rnacentral:rRNA from 1 species